rnacentral:RNase_P_RNA from 1 species
CGAAGCGGACGACGCGGACGCUCCCCGGGCCCGUCCCCUGCCGGUAAACCGGCAAGGGACGCCGGGGGGAGGAAAGUCCGGACUCCACAGGGCGGUGCGCCUCCUAACGGGAGGGAGGGGUGACCCUACGGAAAGUGCAACAGAGAGCAGACCGCCGAUGGCCCGAAAGGGAUCAGGCAAGGGUGAAACGGUGGGGUAAGAGCCCACCAGGCCCGCGGGCAACCGCGGGUGCUUGGCAAACCCCGCACGGAGCAAGGUCGAAUAGGGGGGCGAUCGAGGCCGGCCCGGCCGAAGCCCCCGGGUAGACCGCCAGAGCCGCGGGGAGACCUGCGGCCCAGACGAAUGUCCGCGCACCCCGGGAACGGGGUGAACAGGAUCCGGCUUACGCGCCGCUUCGGGCU